GAUGAACGCUGGCGGCGUGCCUAAUACAUGCAAGUCGAGCGAACAGACGAGGAGCUUGCUCCUCUGACGUUAGCGGCGGACGGGUGAGUAACACGUGGAUAUCCUACCUAUAAGACUGGGAUAACUUCGGGAAACCGGAGCUAAUACCGGAUAAUAUAUUGAACCGCAUGGUUCAAUAGUGAAAGACGGUUUUGCUGUCACUUAUAGAUGGAUCCGCGCCGCAUUAGCUAGUUGGUAAGGUAACGGCUUACCAAGGCGACGAUGCGUAGCCGACCUGAGAGGGUGAUCGGCCACACUGGAACUGAGACACGGUCCAGACUCCUACGGGAGGCAGCAGUAGGGAAUCUUCCGCAAUGGGCGAAAGCCUGACGGAGCAACGCCGCGUGAGUGAUGAAGGUCUUCGGAUCGUAAAACUCUGUUAUUAGGGAAGAACAAAUGUGUAAGUAACUAUGCACGUCUUGACGGUACCUAAUCAGAAAGCCACGGCUAACUACGUG
rnacentral:rRNA from 1 species